CAGCCGCCGCGGGAAUACAGAGGAUGCAAGCGUUAUCCGGAAUGAUUGGGCGUAAAGCGUCUGUAGGUGGCUUUUCAAGUCCGCCGUCAAAUCCCAGGGCUCAACCCUGGACAGGCGGUGGAAACUAUCAAGCUGGAGUACGGUAGGGGCAGAGGGAAUUUCCGGUGGAGCGGUGAAAUGCGUUGAGAUCGGAAAGAACACCAAUGGCGAAAGCGCUCUGCUGGGCCGACACUGACACUGAGAGACGAAAGCUAGGGGAGCAAAUGGGAUUAGAUACCCCCGUAGUCCCUGUCUCUUAUAC
rnacentral:rRNA from 1 species